GCCCGGGUAGCUCAGUCGGUAGAGCAUUGGACUUAAUGCCAAACUGCAUACAAGGGUCCAGGGUUCAAGUCCCUGCUCGGGCG
rnacentral:tRNA from 1 species